GCGACCAACAUCGCCCCGAACAGGCUCAGCAAAAAUCAUUAAUGAAAAAGUUCCAAAGUCAAGAAAAGAAUAUUGUCAAAGCGCGAGUGGUAUCCAGCAGCAGCAAAGCAAAAGUCGCGGGACUACGAUAACUGAAGCUAGGUCGGCCACUGGGGCCAAGAUUGACGGAUUUGGCGCCUAGCAAUUUGGGCUGGCGAAGCAGCGGCGCUCCAAGCAGCUGAUCUGUCGCAGCACAGAGCGAGGGAGCAGAGACGCAGAAAAAAUUCAGAGAGGCUCGACCUUCGCGGGCAGCCGGAUCGACGUCGGUGAGGCGGCGGCCACAAAGCGGGACGGUCGAUAAUCCGCGAUAGCGGAAAGUUCAGCACCGGCGAAAUACGAACGGAGAAAAAGGAGGAAAAUAGCGCAAAUCCUACCUAAACGUGCCGUAUGGCAAAUACAGUUAACAAGGCCCAAUUAAGAUCCGCAGCACAUAGGGAAGGAAAGAGUUAGUGUGUUGUUGGAGUUCAAUACUCAGAGCUGCAAGGGUAAUGCCCCAAAAAAA